UGAUAACUGCAUAAAAGGGAGAGAGGAUUUUACUCCAAUUCACUCCUGCACUGCACCCCAUUCAUGGGGCAGGCAGAGAGGCUUCUUCAUUUUUGGGUCAGAAUUAUAGGUAUUUGACAUGACAUUCGUGUAGCGGGUGAGGCUAUCACGAGAGGAAAUAUGGUCCUCUAGGCCAGAUUGCCAGGGUUUUUUUUAUUUCUUUAUCUUUUGUUCCUGUACUUGGAAAUUUUGGAAUUUUGUAUAUAACGACUCAUCGAUAUUAAUCGAACCGAAACACAAGGAAUGGUGUCGUGUGUCAUCUUUCUACCAUCAGUUUCCGCGUGUUACAAGUGGCGUUGUCAGCAGGAUCGAUGUUCGUCGUUGGAUACACAACCAAGUUCAAAUCCUGACAAUCUGAGGAGCUCAUCCGUCUGUUGGACAUCUU